GGGAACAUACCCUUUUCUACGGAAUAGCUCUGGGAAACUGGAAUUAAUACCGUAUACGCCCUACGGGGGAAAGAUUUAUCGGGGAAGGAUUGGCCCGCGUUGGAUUAGCUAGUUGGUGGGGUAAAGGCCUACCAAGGCGACGAUCCAUAGCUGGUCUGAGAGGAUGAUCAGCCACAUUGGGACUGAGACACGGCCCAAACUCCUACGGGAGGCAGCAGUGGGGAAUAUUGGACAAUGGGCGCAAGCCUGAUCCAGCCAUGCCGCGUGAGUGAUGAAGGCCUUAGGGUUGUAAAGCUCUUUCACCGAUGAAGAUAAUGACGGUAGUCGGAGAAGAAGCCCCGGCUAACUUCGUGCCAGCAGCCGCGGUAAUACGAAGAGGGCUAGCGUUGUUCGGAAUUACUGGGCGUAAAGCGCACGUAGGCGGAUAUUUAAGUCAGGGGUGAAAUCCCAGAGCUCAACUCUGGAACUGCCUUUGAUACUGGGUAUCUUGAGUAUGGAAGAGGUAAGUGGAAUUGCGAGU
rnacentral:rRNA from 1 species